rnacentral:ncRNA from 2 species
UUUCAGAAAUGGCAAACUUGUUGAAAAGCAAGGACGCAAAACUUCAGAUCUAAGGUGUGUAAUGCACUAAGAUGGCUGAGUUGCCUCA